rnacentral:rRNA from 1 species
UGUGAACUGCAGGACACAUGCACAUUGACAAUUAGAACGCACAUUGCGGCCCUAG